rnacentral:rRNA from 1 species
AACGAACGCUGGCGGCAUGCCUAACACAUGCAAGUCGAACGAGACCUUCGGGUCUAGUGGCGCACGGGUGCGUAACGCGUGGGAACCUGCCCUUAGGUUCGGAAUAACUCCCCGAAAGGGGUGCUAAUACCGGAUAAUGUCUUCGGACCAAAGAUUUAUCGCCUUUGGAUGGGCCCGCGUUGGAUUAGCUAGUUGGUAGGGUAAAAGCCUACCAAGGCGACGAUCCAUAGCUGGUCUGAGAGGAUGAUCAGCCACACUGGGACUGAGACACGGCCCAGACUCCUACGGGAGGCAGCAGUGGGGAAUAUUGGACACUGGGCGAAAGCCUGAUCCAGCAAUGCCGCGUGAGUGAUGAAGGCCUUAGGGUUGUAAAGCUCUUUUACCCGGGAUGAUAAGGACAGUACCGGGAGAAUAAGCUCCGGCAAACUCCGU